CCUACGGGUGGCAGCAGUGGGGAAUAUUGCGCAAUGGGCGAAAGCCUGACGCAGCGACGCCGCGUGAGGGAUGAAGGUCUUCGGAGCGUAAACCUCUGUCAGCAGGGAAGAACGGUCACGGAGCUAAUCAGCAGUGAAUGGACGGUACCGGCAAAGGAAGCACCGGCUAACGCCGUGCCAGCAGCCGCGGUAAUACGGAGGGUGCGAGCGUUAAGCGGAAUGACUGGGCGUACAGCGCUCGGAGGCGGUAUGUCAAGUCAAGGGUGAAAUCCCCGCGCUCAACGUGGGAACUGCCUUUGAAACUGGCAACCUGGAGUGUGUGAGAGGUUAGUGGAAUUCCAGGUGUAGCAG
rnacentral:rRNA from 1 species